CAAACUGGAGAUGGCGACCGGCGCACGGGUGAGUAACACGUAUCCAACCUGCCGAUAACUCGGGGAUAGCCUUUCGAAAGAAAGAUUAAUACCCGAUGGCAUAAUAGAACCGCAUGGUUUGAUUAUUAAAGAAUUUCGGUUAUCGAUGGGGAUGCGUUCCAUUAGGCAGUUGGUGGGGUAACGGCCCACCAAACCUUCGAUGGAUAGGGGUUCUGAGAGGAACGGUCCCCCACAUUGGAACUGAGACACGGUCCAAACUCCUACGGGAGGCAGCAUG
rnacentral:rRNA from 1 species